rnacentral:rRNA from 1 species
GAUGAACGCUGGCGGCGUGCUUAACACAUGCAAGUCGAACGGAAAGGCCCAAGCUUGCUUGGGUACUCGAGUGGCGAACGGGUGAGUAACACGUGGGUGAUCUGCCCUGCACUUCGGGAUAAGCCUGGGAAACUGGGUCUAAUACCGGAUAGGACCACUUCGUAGUUGUUGUGGUGGAAAGUUUUUUCGGUGUGGGAUGAGCUCGCGGCCUAUCAGCUUGUUGGUGGGGUAAUGGCCUACCGAGGCGUCGUCGAGUAGCCGGCCUGAGAGGGUGUACGGCCACAUUGCGACGGUGAGACGGAGCAGACUACUGCGGGCAGCAGGAGUGAGGAAUAUAGAACGAGGGGCGGAAGGCUGAUGCAGCGACGCGGCGGGGAGGAUGACGGUCGUGGGGUUGAAAGCUCCUUGCGCCAACGACGAAUUUAUGACGGUAUUUGGAGAAGAAGCACCGGCUAACUACGUG